rnacentral:rRNA from 1 species
AGGCCACUGCUAUCGGAGUUCGAUUAAGCCAUGCGAGUCGAGAGGUGUAAGACCUCGGCAUACUGCUCAGUAACACGUGGACAACCUAACCUGAAGAGGGGGAUAACCCCGGGAAACUGGGGAUAAUACCCCAUAGAUUAUGGAUGCUGGAAUGCUCUGUAGUUGAAAGGUCCGCCGCUUCAGGAUGGGUCUGCGGCCGAUUAGGUUGUUGUUGGGGUAACGGCCCAACAAGCCUGUAAUCGGUACGGGUUGUGGGAGCAAGAGCCCGGAGAUGGAUUCUGAGACACGAAUCCAGGCCCUACGGGGCGCAGCAGGCGCGAAAACUUUACAAUGCGAGCAAUCGUGAUAAGGGAACUCCGAGUGCCUGUAAAAUCAGGCUGUCCGCCAGUGUAAAUAACUGGUGAAGAAAGGGCCGGGCAAGACCGGUGCCAGCCGCCGCGGUAAUACCGGCGGCUCGAGUGGUGGCCACUAUUACUGGGCUUAAAGCGUUCGUAGCUGGUCUGUUAAGUCUCUGGGGAAAUCUUCCGGCUUAACCGGAAGGCGUCUCGGGGAUACUGGCAGACUAGGGACCGGAAGAGGUGAGAGGUACUCCAGGGGUAGGAGUGAAAUCCUGUAAUCCUUGGGGGACCACC